rnacentral:rRNA from 1 species
AAACCUGAGAAACCCAAAAGAUCGAAUGGGGAGAUUCAUCGUCAGCGAUUCCGGUGCGGUGUGCGGUUCGCGAUGUGCGCGACUUCGGUUACGCGGCACGGUCCGUAUGUUCAUUCGCUGGGUGUCGCCGUCGUGCACUUCUCCCCUAGUAGGACGUCGCGACCCGUUGGGUGUCGGUCUACGGCCCGGUGGGAGACUGUCGUUUGUUACGCUUCGCGGCGUCAUGCGGCAGACCCCCGGUCGCCCGACCAGCUGCCCGGCGGUACUCGCACGGUAUCGGGCCGCAAAUAUUUGAACUGCGUCGGGCCCGUCGCAAGCUUGGCCAGUGAUGACCCGGAUGUACGGACCUAGCGCCGUCGCCGGGCCUGGCCGGCUGUUGGCUGACGGUGUCCUAAGACAGGCUCAUUGAUACCGGUCGGCGACGCUACUGCUUUGGGUACUUUCAGGACCCGUCUUGAAACACGGACCAAGGAGUCUAACAUGUGCGCGAGUCAUUGGGAAAAUUCUAAGCCUAAAGGCGCAAUGAAAGUGAAGGUAGGCCUUGCGCCGACCGAGGGAGGAUGGGCGGCGUCACGAUGCCGUCCCGCACUCCCGGGGCGUCUCGUUCUCAU